rnacentral:tRNA from 1 species
GGGCUGGGGCUCAGUGGCAGAGUGCCUGUCUCGCACAUGUGAGGCACUGGGUUCAAUCCUCAGCACCACA